UUCAUUGAUGGCAGGGAAUGGCUUCCUCAAGUUAAGAUGUCAAAGCAGUGGCCCGCUAGGGGGGCAGCCUGAAGUGAAGAGGUAACAUAAUGAGACGUGAAAAAAAUUCUUAAGGAUGAUGCAAAGAUGAGACACAUUCUGCCCUAGAGUGUGUACGUUCCCCUCCUGUAUAAGUUGCUGGGAGACAUGUGCUUGCAACUACAAUUGACAAAAAAACCUGUGAAAGUGGCCGUGUAUUCUGUGGAUGGCAUAAAAGCAUUAGAGGCACUUACAGGAGGACACGGCAUGAUGUCAGGACUGGCUGGAGCCUACCACCAGACAAAGGAGGGAUCAAAGGGACAGGCAUAGAAGAAGGGAAAGUCAGGGGGGCCCUUCUGUAGUGAGAAGAAAAGGAUUGCAUUUCUCACCCCUCAGCCAUAGAGCUUUCACAGAAAAGAGACAAAGAGAGGGGAUAAAGCAGGAUGGUUCAUUCCAUCCUUGUCCUGUCUGCUGGGAUGGCCAUUGUACCGACCCUCACCUUGUGUCACUGAACUCUAGAUCUCCAUGAUAGGUCUCUACCACCAUGUGACACCAUCAGGGGUGCAGAUUGCGUUAUGGAUACCUGCCAAUUGAGAAAUGAUUCAAGAACUCUCAACCUACUAUGAACAGGCGAUGAAACAGUAAUAACCCUUGGUCCCUACUAUCGUAGGUGGGAUUGGAAAGGGCAGUCUACAGGCGAAAGGCUCUGUAGCCUAGCACGAAGCCUUCCAGCCAUCUACGAACAUGAUGAUACUUAAUUCAACUACAUUUACAGACAAUGCGGUAAAGUGGCUGUAGGAUGUGAGCAAAGACCUGAGAAAUGCUGGAUGGAUUAAAGAUUGCACCAACGAUAAGCCUCAUUUGUCCUCCUAAGCCUGGCCAAUGUAGAAUGUACUCCGUUAACAGAGUUACAGCUUGUAAAAAUGAAGCUUUAACACUGCACUACCUUUUAUGAGCUGGAUCUUCAAUUAAACCCCGUUUUCAAUGAUUAGAAUUGUGAUUUUAAAACAAUUAAAUGGAAAGUGAGUCAGAUUUCUCCAGGAUAAACGUAUCACCAAAAGAGCAGAGGGAUGUUUUCAGACCAGUACAUAGUUGUUAAAUUCUGAUGGAACUUGAUCAGAUUAAGCACUGCAAAAAACAACAACAACAACAAAAGGAGAAGCUUCAGCAUCAGAUCUUCAGGGGGUCAACCAGAUUUCAUCGCUCUCACAUAACCUUCAACCCUGCACUUUACUCCAGUUUGUAGAAACACUUCCAUCCCCAGGAAUUUUCACUGGAAUCGUUAGAUUUCUGCUGCAGCCAAAAGGGUAGUAUUUAUUAUUUAUUGUUUAUUAUAUUUAUUUGUUAUUCUUUGUAAAGCCACAGACCCACAAGCAAGAUUUGGACCCCUUUGUGUUAGGUGACAUAUGUUAAGAGACAAUGACAAUCACUACCUCCCAAAGAGCUUACUAUCUAAAUAGACAAGACAGUCAAAGAAUUGGGGAUAAGGGAUAUAACAUAGAAACAGAAUGAACAAUAUGAUGGUUUGCAAAUGUCAUGUUAGUUCCAUGAUUAUUGUUCUGUUCUUUUCUUUUUUAAUAUUUUGAAGUGGGUGCCAUUGAAAUUCCUCCCGGAUCACUCUAAAUGCGAGCAAGGCCUGCAAAGGCCAAGAUGGUUAUGUUAGGAAGAUAGAGACUGAUAUAAGCGAUAAACAGAGGGCUUUAAAAAACUGAAAACAAAUGAUCGGGGGUCUGACUUGCAUGGGAGUUUUGGGUACACAAGGAAUGCUUCAGCAAGCCCUGGUGAAGAGGAAGAAGUGUUGUCUCUGGCUGAUCUAUUAAAAAUAAGCAGAAGCAAGUUAUAAAACAAUGCAGUGGAGCGGAAAAGAAACGCUGACUUUCUUUUCAAGGCAAAAUUUUGGGGUAAUCAGAAUUUUGUUAUGCAUUUCUUAAGAUAGUCAAUUUAAUCUCUCUCCCGCCCCCCUCUCUUUCCAUGCAUAAAAUCAAGCAUGUGAAAUUUUUCUUAGGAUAUGAGGUAACAAGUUCCUAUUACCUAGAAAUUUUGCCUUGGAUAACCGAGAAAAAUUUCCUAGGGGAAGAAAAAGGCAAAGAAUACUGGAGAAUGAUUUUGGUUUAAUCAGCCAUAGGUACUGUAGUGACAGAAGUGAAUUCAAGUACUAGAUUAUCAAGAAACACUCACAUAUGGGAAUAACAGUGUUGCUUCCUACUGUCUAAGUAGUUUGGUUAUCAAGGACCUAAUCCAGAGGCCAUUGAUAUCAAUGGAAAGACUCUGAUGGAUUUCAGUAGGAUUUGGAUCAGCCCCCAUCUGUGCUCUGCUUUUCUUCCGGAUGUUCCUAUGCCCCUUAGAUGUCCAUUGGUGGAGGUUUUUUCUUCCAGAGAGGCAGUAAUUCCCUAAGAGAAAGUAAGAGUGCCCACGCUUUUAUUUUUCUAGUGUAGGGUCAGACCAGGAGGGGAUCCACCAUUCAGGAGUCUCCUCCUCUGUCUCUAACUCAGGUCUCUAUGUUAGAUCUGAAAGAAGGGUUGAAGGGAGAUAAAAUUGGGCCUUCCUUCUGGGUUAAUCCUGUCCUCCCUCCCCCAUGUCUCCUCGUCCCAGGUGCUGGAGUGCUCCACCACGUGUUAUAUCUUACUCUUGCAUCGUUCUUUAAUCAUCAGAAGCACCAAUAACUAUGGGUUUGGGGAACAUCUGACCUGACCUCUGCUAUUGAGCCAUUUGCUUGAUUAACCAGAUGCUGAGACACCCACCCUAAGGCUAGGUCUACACUACCUGCCUGAAUCGGCGGGUAGAAAUCGACCUCUCGGGGAUCGAUUUAUGGGACGCGAC